rnacentral:rRNA from 1 species
AGGAUAAACGCUGGCGGCGUGCAUGAGACAUGCAAGUCGAACGGACGAUCGAGGCUUGCCUUGAUCGUUAGUGGCGGACGGCUGAGUAACGCGUAGGUGACCUGCCCCGAAGUGGGGGAUAACUGCCCGAAAGGGUGGCUAAUACCGCAUGUGGUGGUUCGUUCAAUCGACCCAUCAAAGCAGCAAUGCGCUUCGGGAGGGCCUGCGUCCGAUUAGCUCGUUGGUCGGGUAACGGCUCACC